AUAGUUAGGGUUUUCAAGCUUCCAAGCUCCAUAGUAAGUGAUCCCAAGUCCCGUUUUUAAUGUUUUUUACGUUUUUGGAGUCCCGGUAGCUUAAUUUAGCUUAUUCUAGCAAUAAUUUAACCUAGGGUUUAUAUUUGGAAAAAUACCCAUAGGUGAAAAGUGUUUAUUUUGAUGUUUUAUGAUAGAAUAUGAAGCUAGAAAUUAUGUUAAACAACUUUUGCUAAGCGAUUUUAAGUGAAAACGAGUAAAACGACAUAAUCGGUAAAAAUACCUAAUGUUCAUAAGUACAUGUUAGAGUGGGAAUUUGAUGUUGCCAUAGAAGGGAAAAAUGUUCAGAAUGUUAUAAAACAUAAGAAUAAGAGAUUAAGUUUAAUUUCCGAGCCUUGGGGCAAAAAUGUAAUUAUGUAAAAGUUUAGGGGCAAAAUUGUAAUUUUGAAAAAGUUAGAGUCGAGGGCUGUUUUGAUGAAUGUGAUUAUUAAAUAAGUUAAAUUUACUAUUUUAGAUCAAGAAGUACGAAACUCGAGGUUAGACAAAGGGAAGAAUAAAGUUGAAGACUAAGUUGGUGAAUUUGGCUAUAAUUGGUACCGAGGUAAGUUUACGGUAAAUAAAUGCAAUAUUUCAAUAUUUAUUAUCAAUGCUGUUAAUUUCCAGAAAUUAUGAAUUUAUUUUAUGAAUUUAUUUGAUGAUGACCCAAGCAUGAGAUGAUAGAGAAUUAAAAUUUGAAAGUCCCGUUGAUACAUAAGGAUGGUACUGGAUACGAAUGUCAUGACAUUUGGGUAAAGAGAUCCCAUAUAAGACCAUGUCUGGGACAUGGCAUUGGCAUCCUUAAGAUCAUGAGAGGUCCCCUGUAAGACCAUGUCUGGGACAUGGCAUGGGCACCGAGACGAGAGGUCCCAUGUAAGACCAUGUCUGGGACAUGGCGUUGGCACCGAGAUGAGAUGUCCCCUAUAAGACCAUGUCUGGGACAUGGCAUGGGCACCAACAUCAGAACAUCCCAUGUAAGACCAUGUCUGGGACAUGGCUUUGGCAUGUUAUUAUCAGAAGAGACUCGAGUAUCCUUAUUAUUUCAAUGUAGCUCAACGGGCUUGUAAACGAAUUAUGUUCAUGAAAGUUCAGUUUAAAGCAUAAAUGGCAAGCUCAGGUAAGUUAUAAGAGUUAAGAACUUAUUAUACUAUCAAUUGAUGUUCAACGAUGCAGCAAGAUUUGAGUAAGUUAUGUACACAAGUAUUCUAAGUAAACAAGCAAGAGAACUAGUAUGAGAUUAACUAAAGAGUAAACUAGAGAUAUAGACAUUUGAGUUUAAUUAUUUAAGUUAAAUAUUGUUAUUUAUUUGCUAGUAAACUUACUAAGCUUUAUGCUUACUUCUUUUAUUUCUCUUUCUCUUAUAGUAUUGCAAAGCUACUUCAAGGAUCCUAAAGAAGUCGGAGAUCGUCCACACUAUCAACCACAACUACUCGGUAUUUUAUAUCGAAUCACGUUUGAGUUAUGGCAUGUAUAGGGAUUUAGUUAUUUUGUAUGUUUGUGAUUAUGAUUUUGCUAAAGAAUGGUGUGUAAGUAUUUGAUGAUGUAUGGUUAUUAAAAUGGUUAAGUAUGAAGGUAUUUGUUGUUAUAAGAGUCUAGGUGAUAAAUUAUGUAUGGAAAUCAUGAAAGGAUGAAAUUUUGCAAAGAAACAGAAUUCAGGCAGCAACAGUGACGUGACUUUGAAAAAUCACCCAAGAUAGUAUAAAAUGAAUUAUAGGGUGAAUGAUAUAUGGAAUUAAAGCUUGUUGAGUCUAUUUUCAUGGAAAAAUAACGGUGUAGUGAAAGGAAUUUUAUAUUUUAAGAUAUGUGAAUUUUCGUGAGACAGGGUCAGAACAGUUUUUGGUGUCCCCUGUUUUGAGUUUAGAAAAUUAUUAAAAAUUGUACAAAAAUGGUUAUGAGUUAUAGUUUAUAUGUAUAGAUUUCUCAUUGAGUUUAUUUUCUGUAGAAACAAGUAAGAACUUCAUAUGAAAAUCCUACAGUGAGAAAACUUAUUUUUAGUGACUAGAGGUCAGGGCAGUCAGGUGGUGAAACAGGGGAGACUUUAACUAAUAAACUGUAUUAAUUGGCUGAACCAAAAAUUCUAAAAAUUUUAUGGUGAGUAGAUAUAUGAGUCUAGUUUCAGGUAAAAUUUACGGAAUUAAAUUUCGAGUUCUGUAGCUCAAGUUAUAAUUAAUUUAGUAACUGCUGUGCGAUUGGAUAGAUUUGCUGUAAAUAGUGAAAUAAAUUUUCAAACCUAGUUUUUAUGCUCCGAAUUGGUAAGAUAAGCUAAGUAAUGCCUCGUGCUCAACUCCGGAAACGGUCUCGGGUAAGGGGUGUUACAGGGGAGUCGUCUGAUGACUCAGAUUUCUUACUCUAGGUUAAUGAGGCAUGUGUGCCCCCAACCUGAUAUCUGUGUUAUUUCAGAUCGGGGUACAGGUAUACUAGCUGCAUUUGAUGGACAGAGAAGCUUAUGGCAGCGCACACACCAUCGAUAUUGCCUAAGCCACGUUGCUUCAAACUACUACAGGCAAUAUCCAUCUAAGAGCGA
rnacentral:lncRNA from 1 species